rnacentral:rRNA from 1 species
AACGAACGCUGGCGGCAUGCCUAACACAUGCAAGUCGAACGCCUGCAGCAAUGCAGGAGUGGCAGACGGGUGAGUAACACGUGGGAAUCUACCCAGUCGCUCGGAAUAACCGCGGGAAACUGCGGCUAAUACCGGAUAAGCCCCGAGGGGGAAAGGAGCAAUCCACUAUUGGAGGAGCCCGCGUCUGAUUAGCUAGUUGGUGGGGUAAUGGCCUACCAAGGCGAUGAUCAGUAGCUGGUUUGAGAGAACGACCAGCCACACUGGGACUGAGACACGGCCCAGACUCCUACGGGAGGCAGCAGUGGGGAAUAUUGGACAAUGGGGGAAACCCCGAUCCAGCAAUGCCGCGUGGGUGAUGAAGGCCUUCGGGUUGUAAAGCCCUUUUGUCGGGGACGAUGAUGACGGUACCCGACGAAUAAGCCCCGGCUAACUUCGUGCCAGCAGCCGCCGCAG